AAUACCAGCUCUCCGAGUGGUGUGGAUGUUUAUUGGGCCUAAAGCAUCCGUAGCUGGCUAAGUUAGUCCCUUGUUAAAUCCACCGAAUUAAUCGUUGGAUUGCGGGGGAUACUGCUUGGCUAGGGGACGAGAGAGGCAGACGGUAUUUCCGGGGUAGGGGUGAAAUCCUAUAAUCCCGGGAAGACCACCAGUGGCGAAGGCUGUCUGCUAGAACGCGCCCGACGGUGAGGGAUGAAAGCUGGGGGAGCGAACCGGAUUAGAUACCCGGGUAGUCCCAGCUGUAAACGAUGCAGGCUAGGUGUUUGGACGGCCACGUGCCGUUCUAGUGCCGCAGGGAAGCUGUUAAGCCUGCCGCCUGGGGAGUACGAUCGCAAGAUUGAAACUUAAAGGAAUU
rnacentral:rRNA from 1 species